UACGUAGGGUGCAAGCGUUAAUCGGAAUUACUGGGCGUAAAGCGCGCGCAGGCGGUUUUGUAAGUCUGUCGUGAAAUCCCCGGGCUUAACCUGGGAAUUGCGAUGGAGACUGCAAGGCUAGAAUCUGGCAGAGGGGGGUAGAAUUCCACGUGUAGCAGUGAAAUGCGUAGAGAUGUGGAGGAACACCGAUGGCGAAGGCAAUCCCCUGGGCCUGCACUGACGCUCAUGCACGAAAGCGUGGGGAGCAAACAGG
rnacentral:rRNA from 1 species